rnacentral:lncRNA from 1 species
GGAAUGAAUUUGGAAGCGGGUUCUUCCCAGAGCCUCCCAAUUAUAGUCCGGGCGAGUUGACACCUUGCUUCUGGCCUUCUACCAUCUGCAGCAGAGAAACCAAUCAGACUAGCCCUGACUUUUCACCUACAGAAUGGUGAGCCCUGCUGCAAAUUAUUGCAAACUGCCCCAUCUUACCUCUACUGGUUAAGUGCCACCAUGGGAUCUCACCAUCUUCAUUGUAACAAAAGAGUCCAUUCAAUGGCAGUGCCUCCUGCCUUUAUCCAAGGUCCAUCCACUUUUCAAAGAAGAUGGUGCUCUGCUCGCCAAUGUAUUUCUCAAUCUUGUGGUGAAGAGGAUGUUCUUUUGGAAUUCUGGGGAGUUGACACCAUGACUAUCAGGUUAGCAGGUAUAUGCAACAUACUGAAUCCACUCUUCCAGAACCAGAUGACUCACCCGUCAUUAUUAUAGUUUAUUAUCCCCCUACCAUUGUGAUAAGGACACUAGCUAAGCUCACCUAAGUUGGAAGGAAAAGAAUGAAACCAGUCUUUAUAAAAUUCUUCCCCGUGAGUCACCCUUGAGAGUUGCUUUGCUGAGCAUGAGAAUGCAAGAUGGGAAUAAAUCCUGCAAAGACACUGCUUUAAUUCACCCUGCUGAGCAG